UGGGGAAUUUUGGACAAUGGGGGAAACCUUGAUCCAGCCAUCCCGCGUGUGCGAUGAAGGCCUUCGGGUUGUAAAGCACUUUUGGCAGGAAAGAAACGUCGCGGGUUAAUACCCCGCGAAACUGACGGUACCUGCAGAAUAAGCACCGGCUAACUACGUGCCAGCAGCCGCGGUAAUACGUAGGGUGCAAGCGUUAAUCGGAAUUACUGGGCGUAAAGCGUGCGCAGGCGGUUCGGAAAGAAAGAUGUGAAAUCCCAGAGCUUAACUUUGGAACUGCAUUUUUAACUACCGGGCUAGAGUGUGUCAGAGGGAGGUGGAAUUCCGCGUGUAGCAGUGAAAUGCGUAGAUAUGCGGAGGAACACCGAUGGCGAAGGCAGCCUCCUGGGAUAACACUGACGCUCAUGCACGAAAGCGUGGGGAGCAAACAGGAUUAGAUACCCUGGUAGUCCACGCCCUAAACGAUGUCAACUAGCUGUUGGGGCCUUCGGGCCUUGGUAGCGCAGCUAACGCGUGAAGUUGACCGCCUGGGGAGUACGGUCGCAAGAUUAAAAACUCAAAGGAAUUGAC
rnacentral:rRNA from 1 species